UAUCUGCGAUCAGUCCUGGACUAUGAG
rnacentral:sRNA from 1 species